GGGGAAUCUUCCGCAAUGGGCGAAAGCCUGACGGAGCAACGCCGCGUGAGUGAAGAAGGUCUUCGGAUCGUAAAGCUCUGUUGAGAGGGACGAGAGAUUACUUCAGGAAAUGGGAGUAAGAGGACGGUACCUUUCGAGGAAGCCACGGCUAACUACGUGCCAGCAGCCGCGGUAAUACGUAGGUGGCGAGCGUUGUCCGGAAUUAUUGGGCGUAAAGGGAGCGCAGGUGGGACUUCAAGUCAGUCUUAAAAGUGCGGGGCUCAACCCCGUGAUGGGAUUGAAACUGUAGUUCUUGAGUGCAGGAGAGGAAAGCGGAAUUCCUAGUGUAGCGGUGAAAUGCGUAGAUAUUAGGAGGAACACCAGUGGCGAAGGCGGCUUUCUGGACUGUAACUGACACUGAGGCUCGAAAGCGUGGGGAGCGAACAGGAUUAGAUACCCUGGUAGU
rnacentral:rRNA from 1 species